rnacentral:rRNA from 2 species
UUGGACUGGCGGGGUACUAUACAUGCAAGUCGAACGCGUCUCCGUUGAUGAUUUUAGGUGCUUGCACUUGAAAGAUUUAACAUUGAGACGAGUGGCGAACUGGUGAGUAACACGUGGGUAACCUGCCCUUGAAGUAGGGGAUAACACUUGGAAACAGGUGCUAAUACCGUAUAACAACCAAAACCACCUGGUUUUGGUUUAAAAGACGGCUUCGGCUGUCACUUUAGGAUGGACCCGCGGCGUAUUAGCUUGUUGGUAAGGUAACGGCCUACCAAGGCGAUGAUACGUAGCCGACCUGAGAGGGUAAUCGGCCACAUUGGGACUGAGACACGGCCCAAACUCCUACGGGAGGCAGCAGUAGGGAAUCUUCCACAAUGGACGAAAGUCUGAUGGAGCAACGCCGCGUGAGUGAUGAAGGGUUUCGGCUCGUAAAACUCUGUUGUUGGAGAAGAACAGGUGUCAGAGUAACUGUUGACAUCUUGACGGUAUCCAACCAGAAAGCCACGGCUAACUACGUGCCAGCAGCCGCGGUAAUACGUAGGUGGCAAGCGUUGUCCGGAUUUAUUGGGCGUAAAGCGAGCGCAGGCGGUUUUUUAGGUCUGAUGUGAAAGCCUUCGGCUUAACCGGAGAAGUGCAUCGGAAACCGGGAGACUUGAGUGCAGAAGAGGACAGUGGAACUCCAUGUGUAGCGGUGAAAUGCGUAGAUAUAUGGAAGAACACCAGUGGCGAAGGCGGCUGUCUGGUCUGUAACUGACGCUGAGCUCGAAAGCAUGGGUAGCGAACAGGAUUAGAUACCCUGGUAGUCCAUGCCGUAAACGAUGAGUGCUAAGUGUUGGAGGGUUUCCGCCCUUCAGUGCUGCAGCUAACGCAUUAAGCACUCCGCCUGGGGAGUACGACCGCAAGUUGAAACUCAAAGGAAUUGACGGGGGCCCGCACAGCGUGAGCAUGUGGUUUAAUCGAUGCUACGCGAAGAACUACAGUCUGACAUCUCUGCACUAAG